AAUCAACGCUGGCGGCGUGCCUAACACAUGCAAGUCGCACGAGAAAGGGUCUUCGGAUCCGAGUAAAGUGGCGCACGGGUGAGUAACACGUGAAUUAUCUACCUUCGAGUGGGGAAUAACUUCGGGAAACCGAGGCUAAUACCGCAUAAUAUCUACGGAUCAAAGCAGUAAUGCGCUUGAAGAGGAGUUCGCGGCAGAUUAGUUAGUUGGCGGGGUAAUGGCCCACCAAGACGAUGAUCUGUAUCCGGCCUGAGAGGGCGCACGGACACACUGGAACUGGAACACGGCCCAGACUCCUACGGGAGGCAGCAGUGGGGAAUUUUGCGCAAUGGGGGAAACCCUGACGCAGCAACGCCGCGUGGAGAUGAAGUCUCUUGGGACGUAAACUCCUUUCGAUAGGGAAGAUUAUGACGGUACCUAUAGAAGAAGCCCCGGCUAACUUCGUGCCAGCCGCCGCCGUAA
rnacentral:rRNA from 1 species